GACGGUUUAUAUAUUUGAAUUUGCCCUCUUUUCAGGAGCUGGAACAUUCUCAAGAGAUAAAGAAUAUGCAGCUUAAACAAGCGAAGGACAAUCGAAAAAUGGCUCUGAACAAGAAGGACCAAACAAUGGAGGUAAAAAGAGUUUUAGAAAUAUCAAGAAAGUGCAAAAUUCUCUUCUUAACAAAACAUUGAUUGAAAUUGUAAAAAAAAAACAACUUAAGACUUUGUUUAUAAAACACAUUUUUUUCCUCUAGCUUCUAAAACGGGAGCUUCAAGAAUUAAGAGAAGCAACAAACAACUGAAAUAAAUCAGCCAAAUGUUCCUCAUUCUUUGAGGACUCUCUUUUGAUUACCCGAGCCACUCACUUGGAUGGCUGCCUGUUCGUGCGGUUUGCGCGCUGGACUGUCGUUCGGAUUUAUCGACGGUCUAGGAUUCAAACCCUGCCCGCUAUCAUCCCCCGUCGUACUGAGGGAGGUUUGGACUAGGAAGUAAACUAUCUUCAACUCUGAAGGAACAUCCGAAACAUGUCAAACAAAACAAAACAAGCCUGUCAUUUUGUUUAAGACUAAUGCAAGGCCUUGGAAAUUGUUUCUAAGGAGGAAGAAAACACGUGUCAUUUUGGCAUUUCCAAAAAUAGAAAUGCAUCGCACCAUUGAACUCCUAUGUUAGCUUGUUGGUUUUUUUUUUUGGUUAGUUAAAUAUAUUUAAAUGUUUGACAUAAUGUUGGUAAUAUUUUCUAAAUGUUCAUAUUAUCUCUGGUUAUAUUCUUCUUCUAAAUCUGU